AAGGCUUUAGCUUAAUAAAAGUACUUGAUUUGCAUUCAGGUGAUGUUGGAUAAAAUCCUGCAGGUCUUA
rnacentral:tRNA from 1 species